UAAACUGAUACUUUAAAACAGGACCCAUAACUCUGAUAAUAUGUCGAAAGACGUUUCAGACACAUACACAUCAUUCGUUAAUUUUUUUUUUUAUUAUUGAAUUUGCUGGGAAAGCUCCCAUAUGGGUAUACAAAGCUCAAGUUUUAACUGUGCAAAAAGUGUGCAUCCAUAUGAUGGGCACCCAGCUUAAAGCAUAUUCGGCUGUAGUUAUGUUUUAGAAUGAUAGCUCCGUAAAAUCAAGCUAAACAGUGUGAAGGAAUUUCUGUAAUGUUUUUAAAAUACACCCUUCAACAUUCCUGUUAGUUUUUCCACUAAAUAGUGUAAAUAGGUUAAGAGUUACUCAGUUUCUGGUAGGAUUUUGUGUUUGUUACAUCGACUAACAGAACCAUAUAUGAUGCUUGAUUUCGCUGUUGUAGUUAGGCAAGGUAGGAGUCUUAGAGCAGCUUCCAGAGGGACCAGCGGACCCGUUGUCAUUUCGAUUUCUCAUGGCAGUUCUGAUCUACAGGCACAAUAAAACUGAUGUUAUCAAGCACGAAGCUUUAAACAAAAAGAUUUUUCAGCAAUUGGUCAGCGUAUUUGGAACUCAGUGUCUGGAACAAUAGCUAGCUAUCAGUAUUAACCCCUUCACAGCAAGGCAUAAAGUCUGAUUUAAUUUAGUCAUCUCAUAACACCACUUUUCCAGACACCCUAAACUAAUAAAACUUCUCUCUGUGACCUAAGCCCCUGUCUCAUGUUAUACCACAGUCUAUAAUUAUAUGGCCAGAAACUGUUUUUAAAAUUCUAUUUGAAAAAACUCAUGUUUCCAUGCUAAUAUUAAUACACUUACAAAGUUAAGCAUCCAAAGAAUAGAAAUAUCAGUGUUAAUAAAUAACUUUGCAUCUUUAAUGCAUUCCCACCCUGCACAUGGAUUAAAUGGUAGCCCUUGCAGGAGUAGUGAGUUGUCAUUCUCUGUGCACCAACAGAAAUGAGAUGAAUGCUCUGCCAUGGUUCCAGAGACAUUUCCUGACCAGUCCCAUCCCAGGCCCUGGGGGCUGAUGGUUCAACCUCUUGGAGUAAGUGAAUUGAAAGACAUCAACUAUAUCGAAAAAUAUUCUGCAAUGGAGAAAAAGGUUCAUGAAAUGUAAACCCCAAGUUUCUGUUUAAGAAAGUUUUCCUAAAGUUUCUUAAUUAUUGCUGUAUCAUAUCUCCACAUUGACCAGCCUUGCUGUAUCUUUGUGUGGAGGAGAAAAUGAGUCCGGCACCUAGAAACUUUGUAUUUCUUGUGUUUCUUUAACAUAGAAAGACUAUUUAUGC
rnacentral:lncRNA from 1 species